rnacentral:rRNA from 1 species
UACGUAGGGGGGCUAGCGUUGUCCGGAAUCAUUGGGCGUAAAGAGCGUGUAGGCGGUCCGGUAAGUCCGCUGUGAAAGUCGGGGGGCUCAACCCUCGAAUGCCGGUGGAUACUGUCGGGCUAGAGUGCGGAAGAGGCGAGUGGAAUUCCUGGUGUAGCGGUGAAAUGCGCAGAUAUCAGGAGGAACACCGGUGGCGAAGGCGGGUCUCUGGGCCGAUACUGACGCUGAGGAGCGAAAGCGUGGGGAGCGAACAGG